UCUUCCCCGACGCCAUCGGCCACCACAUCCAAGGUGUCACCAUCCACGACGGUGAAUGGGACUCCCAUGGAGCCAUCAAGAUUUGGAACUACACAUGCGGUAAAAAUAUACACUUAUUUUAGUUAUAUAACUCACGUCUGAAAACUAGAGCUUGGAAUAAUACUCGAGGUUAAUCACAUAAAAAUGAAUAUAUAGUUGUACGACUUUGUCACAAGAAUACAGAGAAUCCAUUUUUCAAAAGGUUUCACUGCAUAUAUGUAAACUCAUAUCUCUCUAAAUUUGAUUCACUUUAUUAAUUUAUGAACCCGACAAAUUUAUUCAGAAAGCUUCUCCAAAAGUAGAUCUGCGGAUUUUUUCGAAAGGAAUUACAAGUAACAACUACACGUGAUGGAAUAAUCUCUUUACCUUAAAAUUUAGUUGAGUGUUACAUAUAUUAUAUAUAUAGUUCCAACAUAUAUAUGCACUUUAGUACAGAAAAAAAAAACAUAUAUAUGCAUGUUGCUAACUUAUAAAUGGAACACAUAUAUGAAAAGAUGGGAAACCGGAGGUGUUCAAGGAGAGGAGAGAGAUAGACGAUGAGAAUAUGGCGGUAACGUUCAGAGGACUCGAAGGUCACGUGAUGGAGCAGCUUAAAGUGUAUGACGUCAUCUUUCAGUUCAUUCAAAAGUCACCUGAUGAUAUCAUCUGUAAGAUCACUAUGAUCUGGGAGAAGCAAAACGAUGACAUGCCUGAGCCCAGCAACUACAUGAAGUUCGUCAAGAGCCUCGCUGCUGACAUGGAUGAUCACGUUCUCAAAGCCUAAAUAUCCCUUUCACAUCAACCCAUCAUCACCUAAUAUCAUGAUCAUCAUCACCCUCAUACGUACAUUGCUCCUUUUGUGUGUGUGUGUGUGUAUCGUUUUUAUGGUGUUUUCAAUAUAAUAAAUGGGGGUUUACAUGUAUGGUUUCAUCUACUAUAAUAUGCUUUGAUGUUGUUUAUUAUGGUUGAGGUUUCAUGUAUGCUCAUCUACGCAUGUAUCCUUGUUAAUUAAUGAUUUUCAAGAGUUAUCAAUCAAUACUGCCCUUUUUUAAAGUGUUGCACUACGUAUGUAUCAGCUUCCACAAGCUCACAUUGUAUACAGCAUUUGUGGUUGUAUUAUUCAUCAUUUUGUACGUUCAAUUAUGGUUAUUAUUCAUACACAGUAUUCAUUAUAUUUAUAGUGGUUGUAUAGUAUAUUUAGUUGCUGUUGCUGUCUUUGUAUGUUCAUUUAGUGUAUAGUAAUUAAUGCUGACUUUAUAAGUUCAUAUAGUGGUUGUAACAUUUAUCAUUUCUAUGAGUAUAUAUUAUUACUCAUGUCCUCCGAAAUUGGACAACAUUUAAACGAUACAAGCAAGGAAGACAAUAAAAAUACAAAAAUAUUUCCUUCGAAACUCUAGUAAAGAAAGCAUAUAAUGAAACCAGCAUUUAGCAAAGAUGAGGGGUCUAUGUGGGAUGGGGGUCUUGUUGGUUCAAUGAUGUAAAAAAUCAUUACGAUUUGUUUUAAGGCUAUUGUUUUUAAUGGGUUGAUAUAUGAAUGACGAGGACAAUGGUCAUGUAUAUGGAUUUUGUCAAACCUACUAAUUAGAAUUGUGUUGUAUGAUAAGAACUUGGAAAACGUGAAUUAUGUAUGGUAUACAGCACAAUCGCAAGUAUCAGUAAAUAUCUAUUAAUCUAACAUAUAAAUUUUGAGUUUAUAUGAUUCUAUAUAUCUUUGUAAAUAAAUAAUGUUUAUGCUGUGCUUGACAAAAAAAAUGAUUAUGUGUACGUACGUAUGCUAAGAGAUGAUCAAAAUUAUAACUAGAGACAUUAUUAGAGCAAAGUACCAGAUAAGACUUUUAAAGAUAUUUGGAAUAUUAUAUGAAAUAUGAAAGUAUCAGUUUAAUAAAUACUAAAUGUAGAAAAAUUACAAUCGUGACAGUUAGCUUAACUCAAACUUUAUACUAAAAACUAUCUAUACUAUUAAUUGGGAAUCAUCGGAAAAUUUACAACCUUUUGAAACCCGCACGUAUGUGCGGGUCAGGAUCUAGUGAUUCUUUAAAUUUGGAAACUCGAAUAUCUCAAACGAUAUUAAUUAUUCAGGAUAUUGAUAUUACAUGGAUGGAUCAUGGAAAUAAAGCGACAAAUUGUUUGGAGCAGAAUGGUACUAUACAUCAUCAAAUGGAGAGACGUCAACCAUGAGAACUGCAAAUCUUUAAGAAGUCUAUCCUCACUACAUGCAGAAGUGGAAGCGCUUCUCUGAUGAUGAGGUGUAUGAUUGGCGCUAACAAUCAAGACGUAGCUUUUCUAAUAGACUAUUCAGAUCAGGUGAAGAUGGUGUCUUUCCUAACCGAAUGACCAGCCUUCUCAGUGUAUUUGGAGGAUUUGAAAAACGACAAUGAAGAAUUUAAAAGUUUUCUUUUAUCUUUAAAUUUUAGUACAAAUGUUAAAGCGGAUAAUUUGGCACGAAAAGUUCUAUACCAAAUCACAUCAUAUCACAUAUGCAAACAACAUUCUUCGGGAAUGGAUCUUUAAUUUGAGUUCUAACUAAUAUCGGUUGACAAAAGAAAAAAGUUUAGAAAUAAUAUUAUCUCAUUUAAACUAGAUACAUAAAUGAAACAACAACACACCCAUACACACAAAAAGCGACUCUAUUUUGUUAAAUAGAUGAAGAGCCUCCUCUAGAAGAUGAAGUGAUAUCUCUAGAACCAGCACUUUCAACCUAGCCACAUAGUGAUGGAUUGAUUAAGGACAACACCUCAGAAAAAGACUUGUCUAUGCCAUGUAUACUUUCGCUAAGAAGUAAGAAGGGAGUGAUUUGGCGCCAGGUAAUUGCAAUGUUUGAAGCGGUCUUUUUGGGGGUCUAGCUACUUCAUCCUUCCAACUGUAGCUAUCUUGAGUCUCAGGGAAGAUCAUAACCAUUGUGAGCUUGUAGAAAAAGGCUUCUACAUUGUCACUGUGGGCACUCGUGAACUGCCAGCCAAUUUUAGAGGUCUAUAUAGAAUCUUUUUUAUCAAGAAAAUGUGUAUAACAUAUAAGAGCACCCUCAAUAGUGUAUCUUAGCAAAAUCUUAGGAUUAAAAGCAAUUAAAAUAAAGCAAACCAACAAUCCAAAGCUAAGAAGUGUAUUUUUCUUUAGAUGUUUUUCUUAAGUUAAGAUGUUUUUCUUAAGUUAAGAUGUUUAUAUGUGUUAUUUGAUGAUUGGUUUAAAAAAUGAACAAAAAUAGAAGAUAUUGUUUUAGAAAAAAUGAACAAAAUAGAAGAUAUUGUUUUAAAAAUAUCAAUGAAAGUCACAGCUGGCAGGAAAUCUACGGUAUCGUUAUCUGGUGGACUUUUCGGCAUUCAAGGAACAAUACAUCAUAUCAACAAACAAUAAUUAUGGUUUGUUUAAGGUUUAAAUUAAAAUUGAUGUAUGCAUUUGUCUACUCUAAUCCUUAUCAUUGAUUCAUUAUAUGCUUCUUUUUUUGUUGGUAAAACCAUUAUAUGCAUUUUGUCAAACCUAUCCUUAUCUUAAUAACAAACAAAAUACAUUGUAUGAUAAGAACUUGGACAACGUGAAAUAUGACUCAUUCUAAAUAUAUUAGCAGUAGAUAUCAAAUAAGUAUAAAACCCGGCUCAUCUAUUUUACGUCUAAACCGUUACACACUCUAUAUAUAAACGAAGGAAGAUCACACGUGAAAAUAGUCAUCAACCAAAGUAAGAAGCGCACACACACAACAUAUUUCUUUCACUACCCAAAGAGAUGGCGACAUCGGGAACAUAUGUGACGGAGGUUCCAUUGAAAGGAUCGGCGGAUAAACACUACAAGCGGUGGAGAGAUGAGAACCACCUCUUCCCCGAUGCCAUCGGCCACCACAUCCAAGGUGUCACUGUCCACGACGGUGAAUGGGACUCUCAUGAAGCCAUCAAGAUUUGGAACUAUACAUGCGGUAAAAAUACAUUUAUAUGGAAUCCAAAGAAUGGUGCUAACUUAAUGAAUGAAACAAAUAUGUACGCAUAUAUGUGCAGAUGGGAAACCGGAAGUGUUCAAGGAAAGGAAAGAGAUAGACGAUGAGAAUAUGGUGAUAACGUUCAGAGGACUAGAAGGUCACGUCAUGGAGCAGCUUAAAGUGUAUGAUCUCAUAUAUCAGUUCAGCCAAAAGUCUCCCGAUGAUAUCGUAUGCAAGAUCACAAUGAUUUG
rnacentral:lncRNA from 1 species